CACACACACACAAUACAGUUGUUGGGGCUGAACGGAUGGCUAUGAAGUUAAGAGCACUUGCUGCUCUUGCAGAGAACUAGAGUUUUGUUCCCAAAAGCCAUUUCAGGCACCUCACCUUCAUCUGUUAACUCCAGCUCCAGGGGAUCUGGCGCCCUCUUCUGGAUUCAGAGGGUACUUGCACUCCUGUGCACAUAGUCACACAAUAUUGAUACAUAAUUUUAAAUUAAUAAAAAUAACUUUUUUAAAGAUUUUAUUUAUUUUAUUUAUGUGUAUACAACAUUCUGCUUACAUGUAUAUCUGCACACCUGAAGAGGGCACCAGAUCUCAUAAGGGAUGGUUGUGAGCCACCAUGUGGUUGCUGGGAAUUGAACUCAGGACCUCUGGAAGAGCAAUCGGUGCUCUUAACCUCUGAGCCAUCUCUCCAGCCCCUAAAAAUAACCUUUUAAAGAUUUAUUUAUUUAUAAUGUAUACAGUGUUCUGCCUACAUGUAUGCCUGCAGGCCAGAAAAGGGCACCAGAUCUCGUUAUAGAUGGUUGUGAGCCACCAUGUGGUUGCUGGGAAUUGAACUCAGGACCUCUGGAAGAGCAGCCAGUGCUCUUAACCUGUGAGCAAUCUCUCCAGCCCAGAAAUAAUUUUUAAAAGAUACAAAUUAUUGCUAAAACUCCUGAAUGUCGCCGGGCAUUGGUGGCGCAAGCCUUUAAUCCCAGCACUCGGGAGGCAGAGGCAGGCAAAUCUCUGUGAGUUCGAGGCCAGCCUGGUCUCCAGAGCGAGUGCCAAGAUAGGCUCCAAAGCUACACAGAGAAACCCUGUCUCGAAAAACCAAAACAAUCAAACAAACAAUCAAAAACUCCUGAAUGUCAUGGUGGUCCCUCUCAGGAACUCUAUACACACAGACAAAGCACCAUCCUGGCCACACCAGGGACUUCCCCCUGUCUUACCUAUGUAUGUGACUUACACUACACACAAGUCGGGUUUCUUCUUUCUGCUCUGUAACAGCCCCAUCCACAGACAGCACCUUUCUUCAGUGCCCUGUGAUGCUCUGGGGCAGUGGUUCACAGCCUUCCUAAUAUGCUGAGACCCUGUCAUACAGUUCCUCAUGACCCCCAACCAUAUUAUUUUUAUUGCUACUGUUAUGAAUUAUAAUGACUAUCUGUGCUUUCCAACGGUCUUAGGUGACCCUGGUGAAAUGGUCAUUUGACACCCCCCCAAAAAAGGGGUCGUGACCCACAAGUUGAGAGUGCUGCUCUAGUGGCUGUGUAUUUGCUGGGUUUGAAUCUUGCAGCAGUCUCGUUAGGCCAUGAUUAUGUAUUUCCCUCUUUAAUGGAUGCAACCAGUUUUCCAGAGUUGUUUGCCUUUCCACACACCCACCAGGAUCUGCACCAAGGCUUGGGCUGCCCUGUAUCCUCGCCCACACUUGCCAAUGUCUGUCUUUUUGUGCUUUGCACUUGUUCAUAAGGGAAUGACCACCUGGUGGAGGCAGUAUCCCACAUCCUUCUGGCAGUGUGAAGAAUGCAUUGCUUGGAGGAGUGGGAAGCAAAGGAAAACGGGGCCAGUCACUUGGCCAACACUUGAGCACCGGAAUUGACAGUGAUGGAGUUGGAAUGAAAAAGGCCAAAAAGCUGCACCACGAGGGGGCGUGUGGAGGCUUGAACACCUAGAAAUGAACUAAGCUGGAGCUGAGAGCCGGGUCCAAGGCCGAAGAACAGACCCCUUCUGGAUACGUGUGAGAUGCUGAGAGGUGACGAAGAUGCUGGGCUCCCGGAUGGCUCGGUGGGCGAGGGGCUCAGGAAUGAGGUCAAGGCUGGAAACAGCUUGAGAUCCACAAGGGUGAGGGUUUGAGUGAGGGGUGUGUCUGAGAUCUCCCAGAGAGUUAUGUGUAGUCAGUGGAAGGCGGAGAAAGGACGCUUGCCUUCAGGGGGCGAGCAGAGGAAGAAGUGGGGGAGACUGCAUCGCUUCCCUCUGAAAUGCUGGCAUGGGCUGAGAAGCGUGAGUCAGGCACUUGCAGCUCCAACAGCCCAAGGUCCGUCUCAGCAGCCGGGACUUUCUCCUGAACGAGCUUGCAUCACCGACCUGAGAAGAUGGUUGUGAAAUCCGCAUCAGGUUGCGUACCUCUGGCAGCGUCUUAGGGACAAUGGGCACCAAAGACUCAUAGCAUCUUGGUGUUGGAGUCCUUUUCGCCUCCACAACUUUGCUGCCAAUUAGCUAUUCCGCACCCCAGGCAGGGAACUCACAACUUCCCACGGCAGCCCACUCCAAUCCUGGGUACACAGGGAUCUAAGAAAAGCCAAUCUCAACUACUUGGGAAGUCAAAGGGAACCAUAAAGCUGUUUCUACUCCAACGGGAAUGCCCUUCAUGGAGUCAAAAGCCAAAGACAUCGUGAAAAAUACUUUUCUAUCCCCCGCCUUCCCCCUACGCCCCCGACACGGUACCUUCCUGCUGGGCUGGGGGUUACAGCGCCUGGCUGCCCCCAGAACGCUGCGGUGAUUGCAUCAGCAUUUGCACACGGCCCCGGAAUGCGCUCAGCCUUGCAGGCAUUCCUCUGGCUCCUUCCAGCAGGGCCUACACCGCCUGGAACCCGGCCAGAGUCUCAGGGCUGAAGCGGUGCGUGCUGCAGCGCAGACCCACUGGGUUGGACACGUGGGAGGGAUGAGCGGCCGCGAUGAGAACAGACCCGCUGCAAGCCGCUUCAAGCUUCCCUCCCUCGGUGUUACCCGCUCCUGCCCUGUGCUGGGCUCUGAGAAAGAGCUGGGCGGAUCUGAUUUUCAAACGGCCCUUCCAGGCAGUGGAUGCUUUGAAAGACAGGCUUGCAAGUAGGAAGGAAAUGUGGGUCUGUUUUCUUUCGACUUCAUUUUUAGAACUUGGCGUUUUUUCAAAGCAAUACCAUUAAGUAGGUCUUUUGGUUUUGUUUUCUAUAAAAUUGUAUUAAGAGCUUCUUCUGGCCAGAGCCUGUGUCCCUUGGCCUACCUUGAAUCCAUCCCAGCCUGUCCGCAGAAGCUGUAGGAAGCCGCCUCGUAGAUUAACUAUUACAUUUCUCAGCCAGAUGCUGGGUCAGGGGUGACCAGAGGUCUCCACAAUUCAUAUUCUCCACCUUUAAAAAAUACUUUCCCUUUUUAUUUUGUGUUAUGAGUGUCUUAUCUCCAAAUUUGUAUAUGCACCACAUGACCGCAGUGCCCCAGAAGGCCAGAAGGGGUGUCAGUUCCCCUGCAACUGAGGCUACAGAAAAUUGUGAAUCACCAUGUAGGUGCAGGGAAUUGAACCCAGGUCUCCUAGAAGGGCAGCCGGUGCUCUUAACCACUGAGCCAUCUCUCCAGCCCCACGGGGCAACCAGAGGAUCCUCUCUGUGCCCGUAUGUUGAUAUCCUCGAUCAAACUCUCCACCUGUCCCAUGCCAACCUCCACUUUGGUGUGAUCAGUUUUUUUAGCUUCCACAAGAGUUAAAUAUAUGAUGCAUUUCUGUGUUUAGUGUCUGUGGUUGUUUCAAAGAAAAUGACCCCCAUAGGGAGCGGCACUACUAGGAGGUGUGGCUUUGCUGGAGGAAGUGUGUCACUGUGGGGAUGGGCUUUGAGGUCUCCUAUGCUCCAGCUACGCCCAGAGACACGCUUGCUUCCUGUUGCCUUUAGAUAAAGAUGUAGAACUCUCAGCACCUUCUCCAGCACCCUGUCUGCCUGCACACUGCCAUGUCCCACCAUGAUGACAAUGGACUAAACUGUGAACUGUAAGCGAGCCUCAGUGAAAUGUUUCCUUUAUAAGAGUUGCCAUGACAUCUGGUUUCAUCUGUGUUGCAGAAGAUGAAAGGUUGGUUUGUUUGGUCAGGAGUUUGUUCGUUUGUUAUUCAAGAUAGGGUUUCUCUGUGUAGCCCUUGCUGUCCUGGAACUCAUUCUGCAUACCAGGCUGGCUUUGAACUCAAAGAUCUACCUACCUCUGCCUCCUGAAUGUUAGGAUUAAAGCCACCAGCAAGCUGGUUUUUUGUUUGGUUGGUUGUUUUUUGACAGGGUUAUAUAGACC
ensembl:lncRNA